CGCCGGGCGAGCGGACGGACCGGAGGGUGGGAGAGGUCGCCAGCCGGCGCCGCUGACCCCAGCUGACCCGGCCCACAGGCGCAGCACCAUGAGGCUCCAACAGUGCAGGUGGCUGCUGUUGCUGGUGAUAUUGGUCACAGAGCUUCAGCAGAGCACCGUGCUGGCCAGGAGAAAGCACCGGAUACGUCACGCCACCACCGGCGUCCCAAGCGGCAGCACGGCGGUAGCCAGGUGUACUCGUAUGUGCUGGAGCGGGACGCCGGCCCGUGGGGCCUCUGGGGCACCCAGUCGCCCUGCUCGCGCUCCUGUGGCGGCGGAGUGGCCUUCCAGACCCGCCGCUGUACGGAU